GCCGGGGUGGUGUAGCGGACUAUCAUUGCACACUGGGGGUGUGUAGACCCGCGUUCAAAUCGCGGCCCUGGCA
rnacentral:tRNA from 3 species